rnacentral:rRNA from 1 species
GCGUUACAUUAGCUUGUUGGUGAGGUAAAAGCUCACCAAGGCGACGAUGUAUAGCUGAUCUGAGAGGAUGAUCAGCCACACUGGAACUGAGACACGGUCCAGACUCCUACGGGAGGCAGCAGUGAGGAAUAUUCGACAAUGGAGGAAACUCUGAUCGAGCCAUGCCGCGUGUGUGAAGAAGGCCUGCGGGUUGUAAAGCACUUUCAGUAGAGAAGAAAAGCUUAGGGUUAAUACCCCUGAGUCUUGACGUAACCUACAGAAGAAGCACCGGCUAACUCCGUGCCAGCAGCCGCGGUAAUACGGAGGGUGCGAGCGUUAAUCGGAAUUACUGGGCGUAAAGCGCGCGUAGGCGGUCUGGUCAGUCGGAUGUGAAAGCCCCGGGCUUAACCUGGGAAUUGCAUUCGAUACUGCCAAGCUAGAAUGUUGGAGAGGGAAGUGGAAUUUCCGGUGUAGCGGUGAAAUGCGUAGAUAUCGGAAGGAACACCAGUGGCGAAGGCGGCUUCCUGGCCAAACAUUGACGCUGAGGUGCGAAAGCGUGGGUAGCGAACAGGAUUAGAUACCCUGGUAGUCCGCGCCGUAAACGAUGAGAACUAGUUGUCGGGAGGGUUUAGCCUCUCGGUGACGCAGCUAACGCGUUAAGUUCUCCGCCUGGGGAGUACGGUGGCAACACUAAAACUCAAAGGAA